rnacentral:tmRNA from 1 species
GGGGGCGACUUGGCUUCGACGUCGAUUACGAACCCCAAGGUGCAUGCCGAGAGGGUAGUAACUCUCGUAAAUCAAUUACUGCAACUAAUUAUAGUUGCCAACGACGAAAACUACGCACUAGCGGCCUAAAACCCCGCUUACGUCAAUGAUCCGU